UAUGAGUUUUUUAUUUAUUUAUUUAUUUGAUUUUUAAGUGUUUUAUUAUUUUUUUCUCCAAAAAAAUCCUGAGGUAUUCACAAUAUAAUGGCAUUUAUUCUGUUUGAAAUGAGACUGGGGAGGGGGGAGGGAUAAAAAUACAGCCAAAAUAAAACAACAACAACAAAAAAAAACAACAAACGAAACAAUUCAAAGAAACGGGCAGUAAAGCUGUGUCGACUGAUACAACCGUCAAGACGUUAUAACCGUGGUGUGUCGUACAUACAAGAAGCUUUUUCGAACUGCGACAGCGCUGACUGAAGUCAGUCCUCCCCCCCCUGCUCCCACCCUGCAAACCAGCACAAGUCAUGCAAAUCCAGACCGACGACUGCGUUUAGAAAGCAACAAACCCCUCGGUGAUAUUCCAAAGCAGGCGUGUCCCACCGUGCCGGUCAGGGGAGUGCAGGUUAAUAACAAGCCAAUCAGUCCACUAUCGUAGUAGUUAUCAUCAGCUGGAACACCGGAAAAAACAAAAAAGAUAUAUAUAGUCUGCGUCGUAGGUGGCAUUCAGAUUUAAAAACCAUCCAACAAUACAAGCUUUAACUGUGAGUUAUUAGCAGAGAGUCAAAUACACCACCAUGUGUUUGUCUUGGCCUUCUGAGAGGGUAAACAGCAAACAAAAUAACGGACGACGUCAGUAAAAGUCGCAGUAAAGCCGGAAACACUUCACCGCGCUGCUGGUUGCUAUUUUGUUUUUUUUUAACCUACUAAAUAGACUGAAUCAUGUUAGUGUGAUGCCUGAUUUCUGUACAUAAUGACAAAACGCCAAUGAGAGACUACUCCUCUACCUUGAGUCCUGUUUGCCCUCCGCAAAAAAGCAACACACAUAAAAACAAAUAAAAAAAAAACAAACCAAAAAAAAUACAAAUGACCAAUAAAUAAAUACCAGUGAGAAAAAUACACUGUUGAAUCAUUUUCUUGCUCUGUGUCACAGAUUUUAAAUGAUUGAUAAAAUAACUGCUGUGACUUCUUGUUUUUUUUUUUAAGAAAAUAAGGAAAACACCCAAUAUUCUCCUCUCUGCACAACAAUCUGCAACACAAACAAAAAAAAUAAUAAUAAAAAUAAAAACCCAUCACAAGUGCAACAUCAGUCAGCAUUACAAAACACACGAGAAAAAAAAAAAGCUCUGGUGUUUGACCAUCAGCUCACUACUACAGCAUCAGACAAACCAGAAUAAAAGAAUUUAAAAAAAAUAAUAAUAGAAAUAAAACUCCAAAAAAGAAGCAGAGGGCAGGGAUGAUGGUGGGGAGAGGGGAAAAAAAAUAAAAUAAAAUAACAGCACACAAUUUAUGACCCAAACCGGGGUAACAAGAAAUAAAUCGAUCCUGAUAUCUGAUCGAAGAAAAACAAUAUAUAAUAAUAAAAAAAAAAUACUAUUAGACUUUCAGCUCAGAGGUUAUCUUUACGUGGCGGUUUGAAUAAAAGGUGGACAGACUCUACAGCGUGAGAUCAAAACAAGGAUUGCUCCACCUCGCCAGGAAAAAGAAAACCUUUAGUUCUGUCUGUCUGGGAUCACCCUCGUAUUUCUUUGUUCAAUUUGGUGUCAUCUUUGCCCUGAAUAAUAAUAAUAAUANUACUAAUAAUAAUAAUAAUCACCGUCAAUAAAGACUUUUGGUAGACGAAUAAACAUCACACACUCUCUCACACAGCUAACUGAAAAGAACGGCACAAAAAAAAGGGGAAAACAGGACGUGGAGACAUUUUUUUUUUCUCUAACAAACACUGUCUGCUAAUAAAGAUACAGCUCCUCCUCCUCCUCCUCGACAACUAGUGAUGGGUCCAAAGUGAAAAAAGUAUAUUGCAAAGUCGACAUUACAAAAAAAAAAGGCAAAAAAAAAAAAGUGUGUCUUUUCCUAAGUACACAAUAAUUCAACUUUUUUUUUUGUUGCAAAAAAACAAAAACAAAAAAAUACAGACUAUAUGUGUAAAAAUCAUAAAUAAGGAUAAAGUUUUGUGCAUCCCCGUCCCAACCAACCAUUGUCUUGGAAGAAGAAAAAAACAACAAACAGAAAACAAAACAAUGGCAGUUACAGCGGUGACAAUAACAUGCAGUUGAUAUACUUUACAGCAUUGAUCUGUAUCUCCCCCCCACCCCCACAAAAACAAAAAACUACAAACCCCAGGUCUAACCCCCCGUCCCUCCCCAGACCCCCAAUACAAUCCUUAAAUAUUUGUCAGCUCAUUCAAAACAUAUCUCUUGCUCUGUCUUUUUUCUCUGUGAACUAGCUGAAGGCGGCGAUGAUGUUAAUCACACUGGGAGGGGCUCGACGAGGAAAAAAUUUAAAAUAAGAAAUGCACCGUCGCUCGCUCCAGUUUAAAUCUGUGUAUGUACAGGAAGGAGGCGUUUCUUUUUUUGUUUUCUCCCUCCGCCGAAGCAAGCUGACAUGGUUUGAAUGACUGCAUAGUGAAAAUGAUAUUUGGUUUACUUACAGAUGGGGUUACGACACACACACACACAAACACACACACACUCGCUCGCUCGGUGUCCAGGUGCGAGUUACCGACUAGCUGGUUUUACACACCGCUGGCCUCGCACCCGACAAGCUAAUAUACACAUGAAGCCACUAUCGGCUGUGUAGGAUGAUGACUUUAUACAUUUGGUGUGUGUGUGUGUGUGGAUUAGUAAUAUUUUGUCUGUCACACACACACACUGUCGGAUGUCGUUUGAAUGGAAACCAGCACGGUGGAGCGAGUGUGUGUGUUUACAAAAUACACAUCAGCUUAAUAACAGAGAACCUCGACAGUGGGAGACUGGGUCCAGCCGUGGACGCGAGUUCGCCGAGACGCACACACACACGCGCGCACACACACACAGAAGAGUUUGAAAUGUCGUAGUGAGAGUGCACCGUCUCCUACGGCGAGUAGAUUUGAAACUGCACCAACGAGGACACCUCCGGCUGCGCUGGCGGAGCAGAGCAGCUGCCGGAUGCUGAGCACCAGGUUCAGGUCUAUGUACAACGGAUUUUUUGAUCAGGGGAGGCUGAGCAGAUCUGUCACGAGGAGCCCCGAACCCCUGUCAUCUGGAGAGUUUACACGAACAGGAAAAGGAUCCGCUCGCUGGUGAAGGUUAACCGUGGCUUUUGAAUCAGUCCCGGCUCGCAUCUGGUCUCCAGAUCGAGACCGGACGAGGGCCGAGCUAACGGAGUUCUGCCGGCUCCACGUCUGCUCAGGGGCCUGCAUCGCCAAGAGACACGAGCUGUCUUUGGGAUUGACUCGGGUGGUUCUGCAUCACAAAGCUGGCUCACGUUGAACUGAUGGGGACCUAUGCUGCCUGGCUCAGCAGUGUGGAUGACGCUUACAGUCCACAAUGCCAUCUGGAUUCAAAGGGGAUGCUUGCAGAUGUUUUAAUGGGAAAUGAACAUGUGAGAAUCUGAUCUGAAAUAAGGGGGCGGGGUUAAGAUUUUGCAGGUUCAUGAGGGGUAUUAUUUUUAUUAUGGUACUGGAGGAAGCUUUGUACGUUUUGAAAAAUAUCCCAGGAUCUAGUGUUUUUGGAGUUUGACCCAAAUUCUGAACUUUAAGUGAAGAUAUAUCUGCGUCUAGAGCUUCUCUAAUGUGUCUCUCUAACGGAUAUGCGAGCCUAAACUGCUACAAUUACUAAGCUUGAACCUUACUUAUUCUAUGGAGUAAUAACACUUGUUGCUGUCCUCUGAGGAGUUACAGCUGGGUCGGUAAACCCAACGCGUCGGGACUCGGUGAAAGCAGGUAACCCAAAGAGAGCCAGACGAAGCCGAACGCAGGCCGCUGUGUCUGAUUGGCUGAGCAUAGGGGCGAGCCAGCUGCUUGUGCUGCCCGGCCCCUGCUUGUGUGUUCGUGCACCAGUCUCCCCCUGUACGCUAUAUGACACAUACACGGCGCUGCUAUAAUACAGCACCCCCACCACGUUCCUCCCCCACUAGCUAGAGACAUUUCAUAUACAUCAUAGCUGAGAGUAAUCAAUGAUAACGUCGAUAACAAUAGUCAUAACAAGAACAACAAUUUCCGUUGAGUUGUGGUCACCUUUGGUGUGAACUGUCAAGGUUGUCAAGCUUGCGGGCGACCUGUGGACAGAGGGAGCGAUGGACGGACACGGAGCAUCUGGACAGACAGACAUCCCCUCUAAUGGUAUCUACGCUGUACAGAGUUGUAGUGUGGUGUGGGGGUUAUAAACGAUUAACUACAUCCAUUACAUACAGAGCUACGCUUGAGGUGACGUGUGUGUGUGUUUACAUUUUGCGUGGGUUAGUACUUUUGUGAAGCCGACCUCCCUGCACGUUCUCUUCUGCUCCAUCCCACUAGCUCUCACUUGCUUUUGCUCUCUUCAGACUUGCUCUUCUGUAUUUGGUAACACGUGUAGACAUUGCAUUAUUUCACUUAUUUGGCUUAAAAGAACAAGAAUAAAGUAUUUGUCCUUUGGGGAGAAAAAAAAAAAAAAA